AUAAUACUCCCUCCGUUUCAAAUUGUAGUUCACUUUGGGUAUGUAUCUAGACAUAAUGUCUAGAUACAUACCUAAAGUGAACUACAAUUUGAAACGGAGGGAGUAUUAU
rfam:Dichanthelium oligosanthes cultivar Kellogg 1175 unplaced genomic scaffold Do_version_2_scaffold4991, whole genome shotgun sequence.